rnacentral:rRNA from 1 species
CCUACGUGAGGCAGCAGUGAGGAAUAUUGGUCAAUGGACGAGAGUCUGAACCAGCCAAGUAGCGUGAAGGAUGACUGCCCUAUGGGUUGUAAACUUCUUUUAUAUGGGAAUAAAACAGGGUAUGCAUACCCUCUUGUAUGUACCAUAUGAAUAAGGCUCGGCUCACUCCGUGCCAGCAUCCGCGGUAAUACGGAGGAACCGCGAGUUCUCCGGUGUUUUUGGGUUUAAAGGGAGUGUAGGUGGGUUGUUAAGUCCGUUGUGAAAGUUUGCGGCUCAACCGUAAAAUUGCAGUUGAAACUGGCAGUCUUGAGUACAGUAGAGGUGGGCGGAAUUCGUGGUGUAGCGGUGAAAUGCUUAGAUAUCACGAAGAACUCCGAUUGCGAAGGCAGCUCACUGGACUGCAACUGACACUGAUGCUCGAAAGUGUGGGUAUCAAACAGGAUUAGAUACCCCUGUAGUC